CCGUUAACAUAUCCACGUGUACGAGAAACUUCCCUGUUUGCAUGCUUAAACUCCUUUCAGCUCCAAAUACUGGGAUUGAAGAAACGGCAUCGUUUGGUGCUGAAAGCUGCCAUCCUGCUUGCUUCCAAUCAGCCUGACAUCACGAUGAUGAAGAAGACGUGGUGGUGGGUUUUACUUGUUGGCAGUGUCGUUUCUCCCUAUGCUGCUUGCCACUCUUGGAUCUCCUUUAAUCGACACCUCUCCUUGAUUGCAGCCGACUCGCCAUCCUACCAUAAAGAGAAAAAGCCCUAAAUCAGGUCAUCCUGACCUCACGCUGAUCCUGGAGACUUCAAAAUUAAAUAAGAUCCAUUCACCGCCAUGUCUGGUUGAAUGUGGCUGAGACACCCUCUCCGAUUUCAUCUGUUCUGUGAGUUGCCAUCGAAGCCAAGUUAAGCUAAUUUGGUAACGAUAUUUGCAGGGGAGUGGGAAGACCUCUCUAAUUUGUGAGGUUUGUGUUUAGUCUCUCUUUCCCCCUCUCUCUCUCUCUCGAAGAAAACCCAACCUCAUCGCCUUCAAUCGCCCAACGCCAUGGGUGAACCUGAAACUUCUCAAAGCAAAAUUUGAUGCACCACAAAGAAAGAUACGGAGAAUUGAAGACGGUUAUCACCAAAGAACAUAUGGAAGCGGCUUUUUCUAAAACUUUUACGCCAUCCGGGAUGGUGGUUUUUUUUUUGUGGUGGAGUAAAGUACUUUGACCGACUUAUGAAGAAACAAAUUAAUGAGAUGGGAAAGGCAAACUACUCAUACAAAAAUCAAAAAAUUAAGAGACUGAAGGGAACCCGGACCGAAGGGUAUGACAUGCCCAACUAAAAAUUGGCACGGCAGGUUUAAGGUCCUUAUAUAACAGUAUAUUAUAUAUUCUCCAGGUUGGGAGCGUGCACCACAUGUUGCAAUAUCUUUGUGUAGUAUUUUGACAAUGUGAACGAUCAUUUAUAUGUUUUGCAACUAAUAAUGGAAAGCUUCUUUCUCUUAACUUGGAGUUAA